ACCCUUGUGGAGGAGGACGCCGAAGGUGGGGCUAAUGACUGGGGUGAAGUCGUAACAAGGUAGCCGUACCGGAAGGUGCGGCUGGAUCACCUCCUAACAGGGAGACAACAAAAUGUUUAAUAUUAUUAUUUUGUCACCUUAGGUCGAUCGGUAUCUCACAUUCUUAAUUUAUUAAGAAUUUCAUUUCCUAAGUUUUUCUAGGUCACACCCAUUAUUUUUCCUGGGCCAUUAGCUCAGGUGGUUAGAGCGCACCCCUGAUAAGGGUGAGGUCCCUGGUUCAAGUCCAGGAUGGCCCAUAUCUCUAUGUUGGGGGUAUAGCUCAGUUGGUAGAGCGCCUGCUUUGCAAGCAGGAUGUCAGCGGUUCGAGUCCGCUUACCUCCACUGAUUACCACCUCUUCCAUAAUCUUUAGAAAGGAAAAUUUUUUGAGUUGUGAUCAUAAUUCUGAACGAAUCUAGCUUCCUAAUGAAAUCAUUAAGAUGCUGGACUCAUUGAUUAAUUUCAUUGUUUUCAGAGAACCUUGACAACUGCAUAGAUUAUUUUUAAAGACAAUAAGCAUCUUUAAUGAUGCAGAUUUAUUAUUUGUGCGAAUGCAUUAAUAACAAUUCUAUUAAGCUGAUGCUUCAAUUUUGAAGUUAUUGGUCAAGCUACAAAGGGCUCACGGAGGAUACCUAGGCACACAGAGGCG
rnacentral:misc_RNA from 1 species